rnacentral:rRNA from 1 species
GAUGAACGCUGGCGGCGUGCCUAAUACAUGCAAGUCGAGCGAACAGACGAGGAGCUUGCUCCUCUGACGUUAGCGGCGGACGGGUGAGUAACACGUGGAUAACCUACCUAUAAGACUGGGAUAACUUCGGGAAACCGGAGCUAAUACCGGAUAAUAUAUUGAACCGCAUGGUUCAAUAGUGAAAGACGGUUUUGCUGUCACUUAUAGAUGGAUCCGCGCCGCAUUAGCUAGUUUGUAAGGUAACGGCUUACCAAGGCAACGAUGCGUAGCCGACCUGAGAGGGUGAUCGGCCACACUGGAACUGAGACACGGUCCAGACUCCUACGGGAGGCAGCAGUAGGGAAUCUUCCGCAAUGGGCGAAAGCCUGACGGAGCAACGCCGCGUGAGUGAUGAAGGUCUUCGGAUCGUAAAACUCUGUUAUUAGGGAAGAACAAAUGUGUAAGUAACUAUGCACGUCUUGACGGUACCUAAUCAGAAAGCCACGGCUAACUACGU